ensembl:rRNA 5S_rRNA 5S ribosomal RNA
GUUUACGGCCAUACCACCUUAGGCACGCCCGAUCUCGUCUGAUCUCGGAAGCAAAGCAGGGUCGGGCCUGGUUAGUCUUGGAUGGGUAACCGCCUGGGAAUACCAGGUGCUGUAAGCA